CCCUUAGACGUUCUGGGCCGCACGCGCGCUACACUGACGAAGGCAACGAGCUUUCCUUUACCGAAAGGUACGGGUAAUCUUUUGAAACUUCGUCGUGCUGGGGAUAGAUCCUUGCAAUUUUUGAUCUUAAACGAGGAAUUCCUAGUAAGCGCAAGUCAUCAACUUGCGUUGAUUACAUCCCUGCCCUUUGUACACACCGCCCGUCGCUACUACCGAUUGAAUGGUUUAGUGAGGCCUUCGGAUCCGCGACUCGUUUUGUGGAGAAGUUGGACAAACUCAGUCAUUUAGAGGAAGUAAAAGUCGUAACA
rnacentral:rRNA from 1 species